rnacentral:rRNA from 1 species
AUACGUAGGGGGCAAGCGUUGUUCGGAUUUAUUGGGCGUAAAGGGCGUGUAGGCGGCAGUGCAAGUCUGGUGUGAAAUCCCCCGGCUCAACCGGGGAGGCGCGCUGGAAACUGUGCUGCUUGAGUUUAGGAGGGGGAGCUGGAAUUCCUGGGGUAGGGGUGAAAUCUGUAGAGAUCAGGAAGAACACCGGUGGCGAAGGCGAGCUCCUGGCCAUAGACUGACGCUGAGGCGCGAAAGCGUGGGGAGCGAACAGGAUUAGAUACCCUGGUAGUCCACGCUGUAAACGAUGUGCACUAGGUGUUGGGACUAAUGAAAGUCUCAGUGCCGUAGCUAACGCGGUAAGUGCACCGCCUGGGGAGUAUGCUCGCAAGGGUGAA